rnacentral:tRNA from 1 species
AAAAUCCGUCGACUUUAGAAAUCGUGAGGGUUCAAGCUCUCUAUCCCCA